AAGUACAAUGAUCCAGUCGGCAUCAGUAGAACGAGAGGGAGAAUGCUGCGGGAUUUAAAUGGGCAUGAUCCUCGUUUUGUGGGGUUUCCAGCUACCUGAAGGUGGGAAAUGACAGUGAUCACACCUCUGCUUUAGCAAGAUAUUGGUAUCAACUUGACUGACCCUAUGUUCAGAGGAAUUUAUAGGGGGGUUCAAAAGCAUCAAGAUGACUUACAGGAUGUAAUAGGGAGAGCUGUCGAGAUUGGUGUUAAAAAGUUUAUGAUUACAGGUGGAAAUCUACAAGACAGUAAAGAUGCACUGCAUUUGGCACAAACAAAUGGUAUGUUUUUCAGUACAGUUGGAUGUCAUCCUACAAGAUGUGGUGAAUUUGAAAAGAAUAACCCUGAUCUUUACUUAAAGGAGUUGCUAAAUCUUGCUGAAAACAAUAAAGGGAAAGUUGUGGCAAUAGGAGAAUGCGGACUUGAUUUUGACCGACUGCAGUUUUGUCCCAAAGAUACUCAACUCAAAUAUUUUGAAAAACAGUUUGAACUGUCAGAACAAACAAAAUUACCAAUGUUUCUUCAUUGUCGAAACUCACAUGCUGAAUUUUUGGACAUAAUGAAAAGAAAUAGAGAUCGGUGUGUAGGGGGAGUGGUGCAUUCAUUUGAUGGUACCAAGGAAGCAGCAGCUGCUUUGAUUGACUUGGAUCUUUAUAUAGGAUUUAAUGCUCACUGAAAACUGAAGCUAAUUUG
rnacentral:misc_RNA from 1 species